GCCGGGCAUGGUGGCAUAUGCCUGUAAUCCCAGCUACUGGGGAGGCUGAGGCAGAAGAAUUGCUUGAACCCAGGAGGCGGAGGUUGCAGUGAGCCUAGAUCAUGCCAUUACACUCCAGCCUGGGUAACAGAGCAAGACUCUGUCUCAA
ensembl:misc_RNA Metazoa_SRP Metazoan signal recognition particle RNA